UUCUCGUCCUCUGGCUGCUGGCCCCAAAUCCGCUCUUUAAUGCUGAACAGAUGCAGCACCACUGAGAUAGUGAAGAAAACAGCAGUGAAGAAGAAGAGGAUCUGCUCUCGUGCCUUGAAGGCCAAAGCCCAGAAGUGAUCAGAAGUGGUGAAUGCCCUGGGAAAUGUAACGGUGAAGCUUUGGCAUUGGCUUCUACGUGACCUUUCCAUCUACCCGAUGCUGCACUGACUACUUCCCCGUAAUGACUGUGUGUCUCUGGGCUGUUCGGAGUGGGGUAACGAGGCUGAGAGGGACGCAUACCGCCGCUGAAGGCAUGGGUGUUGAGCGCUAUGUCCUGCUCCUCCGUGUCGGCCACAUCCAGCAGACAGACCUGCAGGCAAGAGCACCUCUUCUGUAAAUGAAGGAUGGUAUCCAUCCAUCUUCCACCACAUCACCAUCACCAGGAUCAUGAGUGAAGACUGGAGCCUAUUCCACUCGGCACCGGGCACACGGCCAGGGAGAAGACUGGACAGCCAAACAAACCACGAUGAUGGGAUCAGUACCAUUAUUCACCAUAACUUCUUUAUUCAGCAAGGCAUCGUUAAGAGUGAAAAUGGGGCUAAACUCCUUUAAUUCAAACAGAAAGAUGAGUGUAGCUGUUCUGCCAGAAGGAAUUAUCUGUACUUCCGUUCACGCUUGGGCACAUCGCUUUCGGUUCAGUGCACAAAAUGACACGGAUGAACACAUUUCUUGACAGAUGCGGAAAUGAAAUUCACAAGUAUAUGUUCAACAGGAAAAACAUAAUGGUAAUUGUGGUUGUGAGAUUGUUAAAGCUAAUCCGGGUUACAGUCACAAUCAGAGGUUUGGAAACAUUUGGAUUUCCCAAUUAAUUACACCAACACUUCACAGAAUAUUGUUGACAGGACCAAGACUGUUGUCACCUCCAUUAUACUGAACUUGGACAUGUUGCGAAAACAUGCAACGUGAUAACUUGACAGAGAUAUCAUGAGUGUGUGCCAGAGCCAGGCAGAAACAGCAUCUGCAAGUUGGUCUCUACGUGCCAUUUAAGCAAGUUAAGCUACUGAUAGAUGACCACACUCGGUAGUAGAGAACACAAGAUGUAGUUCAUUAUGAUUCUUAUGAUGUUAUAAUGUUCAAAUCUUAAGUGCUAUACAUUUUUUUACGAUGUGCAAACAAGCACGUCUUCUUAAUCAUUCAUGUCGACAGAUGCAUUGCCUUUGGUUUACAACUUUUCCUCAUUGUGUUUGCAGUUUUACUAAUGAAUAUUCUCAGAUCAAAUUCUGUUUUCCCUACUGUACUGAAAUUGCACUGAACCGUGACCCAAAAUUUAAGUUUGUAUCGAAAAGUGAAUUUUGUGAACAGUUACACCCCUAACGGUAAACAUAAAAAAAAUCGUGAAAAUGGCCCUUAAUCAUCGCAUGUAAAGUGGUAGAAAGACAAUUAAUUUGUUUUGUUUUUAUUUCAGACCGAUAAAACCACUGAGGCACAAAACAGUGUGACAUAUCGGCUGGUACCUGGGUUGGUCCCGGAAGCAGUUUAAUCCUGUGAUUCAAACACAAUGACAUGACAAGCAGAUACUGUCCUGAAGAAGCUGGAACCUGGAAUACUGGCGUGCAGCAUGGGCAACCAUACAAACAAACCAGGGAAACUCCGGAAAUAUGAAACACACCUAUUAGAGAGCC